rnacentral:tRNA from 1 species
GAGGGUAUAGUUCACUGGUUGAGUGCGUGCUUGGCAUGCAUGAGGUCCUGGGUUCAAUCCCCAGUACCUCCA